UACAGAGGUGGCAAGCGUUGUUCGGAAUUACUGGGCGUAAAGGGCGCGUAGGUGGCCUUCUUAGUCAGACGUGAAAUCCCCGGGCUUAACUCGGGAACUGCGUCUGAUACUGGAAGGCUUGAGUUCGGGAGAGGAAUGUGGAAUUCCAGGUGUAGCGGUGAAAUGCGUAGAUAUCUGGAGGAACACCGGUGGCGAAGGCGGCAUUCUGGACCGAAACUGACGCUGAGGCGCGAAAGCCAGGGGAGCAAACGGG
rnacentral:rRNA from 1 species